GUCUUCUGAAGAUGUAGCAGUUGUUAAGUGAAUAUUGUGCUUUGUGAUUUGAGGAUACACUUCACUGAGCACAUACAGAAAUAUACCUGGCCAAUGAGAUGAAGUUGUACCACUUCCAUCAGUCCCGACAUUUGUCAAAGAAGUGCAGUUUAUAAAUGACCAAGUGGAUGAAGCAGCCACACUCUCACCGGUCCAGAUAUUCCUCAAAGAAGAGGAAGGUGUAAGUAUUCAUGAAAUACUGACUGUCAGUUACACACUGAAGUAAUGAGAUAACUGUUAAUUGUAUUUCAUUUACCAGUAGUA